rnacentral:pre_miRNA from 1 species
AGCAGAAUUGCUGGGUCACUUGGUAACUCGUUUAGCUCUUUGAGAAACUACCAAGCUGUUUUCUGUAGUGGCUGUAACAUUUUUACAUUCCCACCAGAAAU